UGCGUAAUGAUGGGUUGCCAGGUGUGCGUAAUGAUGGGUUGCCAGGUGUGCGUAAUGAUGGGUUGCCAGGUGUGCGUAAUGAUGGGUUGCCAGGUGUGCGUAAUGAUGGGUUGCCAGGUGUGCGUAAUGAUGGGUUGCCAGGUGUGCGUAAUGAUGGGUUGCCAGGUGUGCGUAAGGAUGGGU